rnacentral:rRNA from 1 species
AGUGAACGCUGGCGGUAGGCCUAACACAUGCAAGUCGAACGGCAGCACAGUAAGAGCUUGCUCUUACGGGUGGCGAGUGGCGGACGGGUGCGGAAUACAUCGGAAUCUACUUUUUCGUGGGGGAUAACGUAGGGAAACUUACGCUAAUACCGCAUACGACCUACGGGUGAAAGCAUGGGAUCUUCGGACCUUGCGCGAUUGAAUGAGCCGAUGUCGGAUUAGCUAGUUGGUGGGGUAAAGGCCCACCAAGGCGACGAUCCGUAGCUGGUCUGAGAGGAUGAUCAGCCACACUGGAACUGAGACACGGUCCAGACUCCUACGGGAGGCAGCAGUGGGGAAUAUUGGACAAUGGGCGCAAGCCUGAUCCAGCCAUACCGCGUGGGUGAAGAAGGCCUUCGGGUUGUAAAGCCCUUUUGUUGGGAAAGAAAAGCAGCAGGUUAAUACCCCGCUGUUCUGACGGUACCAAAAGAAUAAGCACCGGCUAACUUCGUG